rnacentral:snoRNA from 1 species
AACAGGUGAUGACAAAAUGUUUCGGUCCCAGAUGAUGUUCACUGAUUAAAAUGUUAACGUUUUUCUGAUGUU